ACGGUAUGGAUUUGUGGGGCCAGGGGACAGCGGUCACCGUCUCCUCAGUGUCCCCGACCAGCCCCAACGUCUUCCCGCUGAGCCUUCAAAGCACGGAGCAGGGCGACCCCGUGGUCAUCGCCUGCCUGGUCCAGGGCUUCUUCCCGCAGGAGCCGCUGGAGGUGACCUGGAGCCAGGACGGGGAGGACGUGACUGUCACACAGUAUCUGCCCACCGAGGCUGGCACGGAGGGCCUGUACACCGCCAGCAGCCAGCUGACCCUGCCGGCCGACCAGUGCCCGGCUGCCAAGUCCGUGCAGUGCCACGUGGAGCACAACUCGGACUUCAGCAAGGAUGUGUCCGUGCCCUGCACCACCCCAGACCCACCUGUGCCCUCCUGCUGCCAUCCCAAACUGUCACUGCACCCACCGGCCCUCGAGGACCUGCUUCUGGGCUCAGACGCCAACCUCACGUGCACACUGAGCGGCCUGGUGGACCCCGAGAACGCCGUCUUCGCCUGGCAGCCCUCGGAGGGGAAGGACGCCGUGCAGGAGGCAGCCGUGAGGGACUCCUGUGGCUGCUAUAGUGUGUCCAGUGUCCUGCCCGGCUGCGCCGAGCCGUGGAACCACGGGCAGACCUUCGAGUGCUCCGCCACCCACCCUGAGUCUGAGACCACACUGACCGCCACCAUCGCCAAAGUCUCAGGCAACACCUUCCGGCCCCAGGUCCACCUGCUGCCGCCGCCGUCGGAGGAGCUGGCCCUGAACGAGCUGGUGACGCUGACGUGCCUGGUGCGCGGCUUCAGCCCCAAGCAGGUGCUGGUGCGCUGGCUGCAGGGGUCCCAGGAGCUGCCCCGAAGCGACUACCUGACCUGGCCCCCCCGGCAGGAGCCCGGCCAGGGCGCCACCACCUUCGUGGUGACCAGCGUGCUGCGCGUGUCGGCCGAGUCCUGGAAGAACGGGGACAACUUCUCCUGCAUGGUGGGCCACGAGGCCCUGCCCCUGGCCUUCACGCAGAAGACCAUCGACCGCCUGGCGGGUAAACCCACCCACGUCAACGUGUCCGUGGUCAUGGCAGAGGUGGACGGUAUCUGCUACUGAGCCGCCCGCCCACCUGCCCCUGAAUAAACGCCGAGCUCGCCCCACGCA